GAUGAACGCUGGCGGCGUGCUUAACACAUGCAAGUCGAACGAUGAAGCCCAGCUUGCUGGGUGGAUUAGUGGCGAACGGGUGAGUAACACGUGAGUAACCUGCCCUUAACUCUGGGAUAAGCCUGGGAAACUGGGUCUAAUACCGGAUAGGAGCGUCCACCGCAUGGUGGGUGUUGGAAAGAUUUAUCGGUUUUGGAUGGACUCGCGGCCUACCAGCUUGUUGGUGAGGUAAUGGCUCACCAAGGCGACGACGGGUAGCCGGCCUGAGAGGGUGACCGGCCACACUGGGACUGAGACACGGCCCAGACUCCUACGGGAGGCAGCAGUGGGGAAUAUUGCACAAUGGGCGCAAGCCUGAUGCAGCGACGCCGCGUGAGGGAUGACGGCCUUCGGGUUGUAAACCUCUUUCAGUAGGGAAGAAGCGAAAGUGACGGUACCUGCAGAAGAAGCACCGGCUAACUACGUG
rnacentral:rRNA from 1 species